rnacentral:misc_RNA from 1 species
UUUCCGUAGGUGAACCUGCGGAAGGAUCAUUACCGAGUACCGGGUCUUCGGGCCCAUACUCCCACCCUUUGUGUACCAACCAUGUUCGUUGCCUUGGUGGGGUUGAUCCCUGGGCCUUACCGCCCGGGGGGACCCGCCAGGGGAACACCACUAAACUCUCAUCAACGGUACUGUCUGAGAACAAACAAAUAAGUUAAAACUUUCAACAACGGAUCUCUUGGUUCUGGCAUCGAUGAAGAACGCAGC